UGGGGAAUAUCGGACAAUGGGCGAAAGCCUGAUCCAGCCAUGCCGCGUGUGUGAAGAAGGUCUUCGGAUUGUAAAGCACUUUAAGUUGGGAGGAAGGGCAUUAACCUAAUACGUUAGUGUUUUGACGUUACCGACAGAAUAAGCACCGGCUAACUCUGUGCCAGCAGCCGCGGUAAUACAGAGGGUGCAAGCGUUAAUCGGAAUUACUGGGCGUAAAGCGCGCGUAGGUGGUUUGUUAAGUUGGAUGUGAAAUCCCCGGGCUCAACCUGGGAACUGCAUUCAAAACUGACUGACUAGAGUAUGGUAGAGGGUGGUGGAAUUUCCUGUGUAGCGGUGAAAUGCGUAGAUAUAGGAAGGAACACCAGUGGCGAAGGCGACCACCUGGACUAAUACUGACACUGAGGUGCGAAAGCGUGGGGAGCAAACA
rnacentral:rRNA from 1 species